rnacentral:lncRNA from 1 species
AUGAGACGCCCGUUCUCCCCGCCACCCCCGGGGCGGGGAUUGGGUCCGACGGGCCCGUACCACGUCCACCCCGGCGCUCAGCACGGUGCUCGACCCUCGCGACUGGUCAACCCAGCCCGCCCGCCCAGCCCAGACCUGGGGAAUCGAAGGCCUCGUCGUCGGACGGGCCGGGGCUGCCCGGAGGCGCCGGGCUUCGGGCCGGCCCGCCUCCACGCCGGUGGGGCCCCGCCCCCUCCCGCCGCGGACCACGGGGUCCGGGGAGCCGCUUCGGGCCGCCGGGCUGACCGGCGCCUCCGGUCUCGUCUCGCAGACGUGAACGAGUGCGGAGAGCGGCGCCCCGCCCGCCGCGGACCCGUGCGCCCCCGGCCUCUGCGAGAACACGGACGGCUCCUUCCGCUGCCGCUGCCCGCCCGGGUACGUGCCCGCCGCGGCCCCCGCCCGCUGCCUCCCGCGGCACAAGUAGGGGCCGGGCCGGCCCCCCGGGGGGGCCGCCCCGCCUUCCGCCGCCGCCUCCUCGCCUCCGCUCGCCCGGCUUACCCCAGCGCCGGCAGCCGCCCCUUGCCGCUUCGGUCACCCGGGGCGGGCCUGCGGAGGGACCCGCGGGGGGGGUCCCGCCGCCCGCCUCCCGGAACGGCCCGGACCCCCGAGGGAGGCCCGGGCGCGGGCCGCUCCCGCCGCCCCCCCGGGGCCGUCCUGGGGGGUCGGGAGGGCUUGACCCGUCACCCUCCGGCGUCCUCCGGACCCCGCCGCCACGACCGGGCACCGGGCCCCCCGGCUGAGCGCCGCCGUCGGGUGCGGUGGGGCGCCGGGGGGCUCUCGGGGGGGGGGGGGGGUCCGGCUUUCCGGAGGAUCCGGCCGCUCGCGCCCCCCCCCCUCCGGGAAGACGGGUUCGGACGUGUUAAUAAAAUGGUCUAUUUUCUGGCCCGCGGCGUCCGGCGUGUUUCCGUCCGGGGCCGGGAGGGCCGGCGCCCCGGGGUGGGCCCCAACGGGUUUCUCGAAGGCCAGAGGGCCGUUGACUAA